rnacentral:rRNA from 1 species
UACGUAGGGUGCAAGCGUUGUCCGGAAUUAUUGGGCGUAAAGAGCUCGUAGGCGGUUUGUCGCGUCUGCUGUGAAAACUCGGGGCUUAACCCCGGGCCUGCAGUGGGUACGGGCAGACUAGAGUGCGGUAGGGGAGACUGGAAUUCCUGGUGUAGCGGUGAAAUGCGUAGAUAUCUGGAGGAACACCGGUGGCGAAGGCGGCGUUCUGGACUGCAACUGACACUGAGGAACGAAAGCCAGGGGAGCAAACGGG